UACGUGGGGUGCAAGCGUUAAUCGGAAUUACUGGGCGUAAAGCGUGAGCAGGCGGCUUUGCAAGACAGAUGUGAAAUCCCCGGGCUUAACCUGGGAACUGCAUUUGUGACUGCAUGGCUAGAGUGCGGCAGAGGGGGAUGGAAUUCCGCGUGUAGCAGUGAAAUGCGUAGAUAUGCGGAGGAACACCGAUGGCGAAGGCAAUCCCCUGGGCCUGCACUGACGCUCAUGCACGAAAGCGUGGGGAGCAAACAGG
rnacentral:rRNA from 1 species